rnacentral:rRNA from 1 species
UACGUAGGGGGCGAGCGUUGUCCGGAUUUAUUGGGCGUAAAGAGCUCGUAGGCGGUUUGGCAAGUCGGGUGUGAAAACUCCGGGCUCAACCCGGAGACGCCACUCGAUACUGCUAUGACUUGAGUCCGGUAGGGGAGUGCGGAAUUCCCGGUGUAGCGGUGAAAUGCGCAGAUAUCGGGAGGAACACCCGUAGCGAAGGCAGCUCGCUGGGACGGUAUUGACGCUGAGGCGCGAAAGCGUGGGGAGCAAACAGG